AAGAGUUCUAUGACGAAAUAUCCCGGAUGCUAAAGCAAAUAUCACCGAGAGCGCAAAACCGUGUGGAGAUUUCCGUUGCCUUCCUUCUGAGGACUCU
rnacentral:snoRNA from 1 species